rnacentral:rRNA from 1 species
GACGAACGCUGGCGGCGUGCUUAACACAUGCAAGUCGAACGGAAAGGCCCGGCGUUUGUUGGUUUCUCGAUUGGCGAACAGGUGAGUAACACGUGAGGAACCUGCCCUUGACUUUGGGAUAACUUCAGGAAACUGGGGCGAAUACCGGGUAUGAUCUCCUGCUGCAUAUGGGGGAUUGGAAAAUUUCGGCUUUUGGGGAUGUACUGGCUGCUUAUCAGCUUGUUGGUGUGGUAGUUGCUUACCAAGGCUUUGACGGGUAGCCGGCCUGAGAGCGUGACCGGCCACAUUGGGCCUGAGAUAGGGAGCAGAAUCGUACGGGCGGCAGUAGUGGAGAACAUUGCAGAAUGGGCGGACGCCUGAUGCAGAAACGCUGCGUGCGGGAUGCCGGCCUUCGGGUUGUAAACCGAUUUCGAAUGUGCUGAACACUGCGUGACGGUAAUGGGUCAAGAAGCCACGGCUAACUACGUG